UUUAAUCUAGAUUAAUCUCACUGUGAUCUUGAAAUUAAUCUAGAUUAAUCUAGAUUAAAAUGGCUCAUUCGAAUUCUGCCGAAGGCAUUCAGAAUAUGUGUGUUACCCAAAUAAAAUUGACAAACAGUAAGUCUUUGAGAAGGGGUUUAUCAAGCUAGGUGGUGCAUUAGAAAAGGGGCUCAUCUCCUGUUUCCAAAAUGCAUCAAUAAGUGCUUGAAAAAGCUGUAAACUAAUUCCACAUUGCACAAGUGGGGACCCGGUGAAGGUUGUACCAGUGGGCCCUGUUUGAAAUUGUUUAAUUUGUAUGUUUGUUUAUUUUUAUUUAUUUGUGCUAUUUACACAAUGUUUAAGUUUUUUUCAAGUUUGUAGGUGUCAAGGUACAGAAACCAAAUAAUUAAAUGUAAAAUAGCACUGGAUAGUCUUCAAUGUAAAAAUGAAAUAUACAAUCAAACCUACAUUUAUUCAGAAACCUUCAACAUUUCUCACAUUAUUUCAGUUUUGCUAUAUAUAUCAAAAAAUAUAUCUGGUGUCUGAAUAA